AGCUGAGGGGCAGUGCGCGCCGUUGGCAACCGGCUUGGAAUCGCCCAGCUGUCCCCUCAGACGGCAGCCCAUGGCCGUCCCCUUCGCCGUGGGAUGCGGGGAUUUGGGGCGGCUGAAGGAGUCGGGGCCCCCACCGCUGUAGCGCUGCUGCCCCCAUUAGGGCCUGGAACCCCGAGCCUCCAGCUCUGCUCGCGGUGCCCCCCAAGGCUGAGGUUUCAGUCUGCAGUCUGCUGAUCCAAAAGAAAGAAGGCGUUUUUUGGAGGACAUAAUCAUUGCAAGUCGAGCUGCUGCUGAACCUCCCCUUCCAACAUCCAGCAGGUUUGUUCUGCAGGCCCCAAUGAUGGCACAGGCAUGAAAGAGCCCAGAGCUCGUCGCUGGGGAGAGGCUGCGUAUGGCGUUGUGAAGGAAGAGAUGGAGGAGUGGUUUGAGCAGCGCUGUGCAGGAAUGAACGGCUGGUAAGAGAAGAGGUGUGUGUGCUGAGAGCAAGGGCUGUACGGCUCCUCUCUGUGUUCUCACAGGAAGUGCACGGCAGAGCUCCUUGCUCUCUGUUCUUUCUUGCAAGGCUGCGGCGCUUCAAAGUGCGCUGUGGGUGGGCAGCGCGAUGACAGCCCAAGGGUGGCAGCAGGAGAUGCAGCGCAGCCCUCUGCAGCAGCAGGGUGCAUUGAUUGGUCUUGCUCAUUCGUGAAGGAGAAGGUGUGUUUAGCUGCCAACUUUGGUGGCUCCAUGGCAUGUGCUGAAUGCUUUGGGGCCCUUCCUGUGUUCCUCAUGUCCUGAGGCAGUGAAGGACUUCGCUUGCUCUGUAGGAAUGGUUCCUGUGCAAGGACAUGGUCGUCUGCCUGUAGCAGAUACUGAAGGUUGUGGUUUUGUGACUGCAGUGAUGGAGUUGGCUUUAGAAUGGCAAUUGCACUCUGCUCACGUGCAGCUCUUUC